rnacentral:lncRNA from 1 species
AUGUGGCAAUGCAUUAUGAGCAACAAAAAAGAGACAGCCUUCCCAAGUUCAUGUGGAUUGUGGCUUCUUGGGCAGAGUUCAACUUCAGCUAUCAGCCUGCACCCUAGGACCAUUACUGACCACUGCAGACGCAUCACUUGCACCGUGGCACAUUUUGAUGUCCAGGAGAACUCAAUACUUUUGCUAUAAAGAAUGUGGACGUGAAGACCAGCUUGUAUAUUUGUGUCCCUGAAUGUCUUCCACUUGAGGAAAAACCUGUGGGCUUUUGGAAAAGGUCCUGAAACCUAAUUUAAAAGCAUCACCAGCAGGAAAAACCCAUCAUGAAGUGGGAGAAAAUCUUGAACAUUAUUAAUUUGAAUCGUGGAGCUGUAUAGAAACAGAUAUUGAUACAAUGCAGCUAACGUGUGACAGAGUACCAAAUGGACGUCCUUCGAGAAGUCGGUUCUAACUUCUCUAAGUCAUCACUUCUCUCUUAGUAGGCCAUGUUUUUUAGGGAAUCACUCAGCAUGUGUAUCAGCUUUCCCAGUCCUAAAUUCUUUUAAGCUGCGUAUUUCUUUUGGAGUGAAAAUUUGAGACAGUGUAGCCCAUGAAUUACUGUGAAGACAUCGAAGCCACAUUUCUCACUUUUAAGGGACUGGUGUGGUGGCAUACAGGAGCCUAAUGUUCCAUGCAAUUUGUGAUUUUCCACUUUAUUGAAGAAAUAAUUCUGUUUGUAGUUUUAUGAACUUGCAGUCUUGAAUACACAGUAGUGCAAGUCACAAUUUUAUCUAUAGGCUGUUCCAUCUUGAAUGAAGAAAUACUAUAUGUUGUUAAAACCCUGAUCUCCAAGAGUUUGUAAAAAAAAAAAAUAAUGAUGUUUGACUUAAAAUGUAAUUUUUAAAAAUUGAACAUUUAUUAUUAAAACUUCUUUCAGAAAAAAAAAAAAAAAAGGGUAUAAUUUUUGUGCAUUAAUGCUUGUCUGGCAGACACUGGAAGUAUUUCUUCUGAAAGAAGAAUACCUGUAGUCACAAGCCUGAGGAAGUGGUACUGUAGAUGGAUGAAUGCUUUCAGCUUAAUUGCAUGUGUUGAAGCUUUUCCAGGUGAAAAGCCCUGACUGGAAAGUAGAGGGGGUCUGUAUGUAGUGAUUACACCUGUGCCUACCUGAUGAUGCUAGCAGGAAAAGUUCCCUUCUGCUAUAUUUGUGUCCAUA